AGAGUUUGAUCCUGGCUCAGGAUGAACGCUAGCGGCAGGCUUAACACAUGCAAGUCGAGGGGCAGCGGGGAGGAAGCUUGCUUUCUCCGCCGGCGACCGGCGCACGGGUGAGUAACACGUAUGCAACCUGCCCCUGUCAGGGGGACAACCCGCCGAAAGGCGGGCUAAACCCGCGUACAUGCCACCGGGGUAUCCCGGAGGCAGGAAAGGCUUCGGCCGGACAGGGAUGGGCAUGCGGCGCAUUAGGCAGUAGGCGGGGUAACGGCCCACCUAACCGACGAUGCGUAGGGGUUCUGAGAGGAAGGUCCCCCACACUGGUACUGAGACACGGACCAGACUCCUACGGGAGGCAGCAGUGAGGAAUAUUGGUCAAUGGUCGGGAGACUGAACCAGCCAAGCCGCGUGAGGGAUGAAGGUACAGAGUAUCGUAAACCUCUUUUGUCAGGGAACAAAGGCGGGGACGCGUCCCCGGAUGAGUGUACCUGAAGAAAAAGCAUCGGCUAACUCCGUGCCAGCAGCCGCGGUAAUACGGAGGAUGCGAGCGUUAUCCGGAUUUAUUGGGUUUAAAGGGUGCGCAGGCGGUUUGUUAAGUCAGCGGUCAAAGCCCGGGGCUCAACCCCGGCCCGCCGUUGAAACUGGCAGUCUCGAGUUGGAGAGAAGUAUGCGGAAUGCGCGGUGUAGCGGUGAAAUGCAUAGAUAUCGCGCAGAACUCCGAUUGCGAAGGCAGCAUGCCGGCUCCACACUGACGCUGAGGCACGAAAGCGUGGGUAUCGAACAGGAUUAGAUACCCUGGUAGUCCACGCAGUAAACGAUGAAUGCUGGCUGUCCGGGGGGACUGACCCCUGGGUGGCGAAGCGAAAGCGAUAAGCAUUCCACCUGGGGAGUACGCCGGCAACGGUGAAACUCAAAGGAAUUGACGGGGGCCCGCACAAGCGGAGGAACAUGUGGUUUAAUUCGAUGAUACGCGAGGAACCUUACCCGGGCUCAAACGGGGAGUGGCGCAGGCAGAGACGCCUGUUUCCCACGGGACACUCCCCGAGGUGCUGCAUGGUUGUCGUCAGCUCGUGCCGUGAGGUGUCGGCUUAAGUGCCAUAACGAGCGCAACCCCCGCGUGCAGUUGCUAACAGUCAACGCUGAGGACUCUGCACGGACUGCCGGCGCAAGCCGCGAGGAAGGCGGGGAUGACGUCAAAUCAGCACGGCCCUUACGUCCGGGGCGACACACGUGUUACAAUGGGUGGUACAGCGGGAAGCCAGGCGGCGACGCCGAGCGGAACCCGAAAUCCACUCUCAGUUCGGAUCGGAGUCUGCAACCCGACUCCGUGAAGCUGGAUUCGCUAGUAAUCGCGCAUCAGCCAUGGCGCGGUGAAUACGUUCCCGGGCCUUGCACUCACCGCCCGUCA
rnacentral:rRNA from 1 species